CUUGUUCACGGGUCUGUCACUUUCUCACCCUCAAACCACAGUGAAACCUAAUCUUCCCAACUUUACCGUUGUGAUUUCAAGAAAGAAAAGAACAAAAAAACUUUACCGUUGUGUUCCCCGCGCCGGCGCAUAUUUAUAUAAGAGGAACAUCCACGACCAGAUUUUGAAAAAUCAAAAAUAGUGCAGAAGAAAAGCAAGAGGGCGCUCACAUUGACAUGCCCUUCUUUUUUAACAGCGGCGUUUUUGAACAUCGUCUCAGACGUCCGGCCGCCUCCGCCGACUGCCCUCAGCCUCGAUCUCUUCUUUCUUAAGGUCUCGAUUUGUUAUUUCAAGGUUCUUGAAUUUCAAUUACACAUGGGUUCUAUUGUAUGUCUUGGAUUACGACUGCAGUCUGCGGACAAGUGUCUGGGACUUACAUACAAGGAUGCUGGUGUGGACAUUGUUGCUGGAUCAGAACUUGUUCAGAGAAUAGGCAAGAUGGCUCUCUGAAUUGGAGGUUUUGAAGGCUUUUCCCUUUGGGGGAUUCGUAUAGAGAUGGAGUGGGAACGAAACUUAUGUUGGGUUUAGGGACGAAUCGACGAGACUACUGGCAUUGAAUUGGAGAACCUGCAGGCUUUGGAUUGGAUUGUCAUCUUUGUCCGCUGGCUGAUCUUCCCUACCAUUAGGUUGGGAAAGAAUGUGAGUCUAGCAAUGUUAUAACUUG